UGGUUUCAGUAGAAGUACUUCAUAUCCUUAUAUGCUGUUUACUGUAAAGUUUUACAUCGUGUUACAGCACCUGAUUAUAGUCUAUUUUUUCUUUGAUCAUUUCAUUUAGUUCCAUCAGAAAGCAUAAUAUACUUUAAGCAGCCUGUUAAACUUGCUGUAGCUGCUUUGGUCCAAUUUCCUCUACACUUUUAGGUCCUAUACUAUAUUAAGCUCAAGAUUUACAAAGAAAUGCUUGAAAGCAAGUACUCCUCUGAGUUGAGAAAUGCCAACCAAAUAAAUUUGGGAGGCCAAAUAGCCAUUUUUAGGGAUACUUAGUUCUCAUCAGUCUUUGACUAAUUGCUUAAAGCAUCAUCUCAAAAGUUCUAGUUCACCUGGAAUGACUCAGGUGUUGGAUGGACUAAGGAGACAUGACAAGGCCGGGACUGGGCAAUAUUGUUGAACCUAGAAUCAGCAAGAUUUGGUAAAGCUGGCCUAGAAGUCAUUGUUGUAGAUUGAAAGAUGCUGCCGCGCUUUGGAAACUUUUCCCCCUUCUGUGACCACGAAGGGCAGAAGAGAGAAAGUUCAUUUGUAUUAAAGUCUUACUUUUAAAAAUUGAAGUUGUCAAUAUUAGACUGUAUACUGUAAUCUUGGCCUUUGUGACUAAUGGAUCAGACAUAUAUGUGUAGGUAUUUUAGUAGUGAUAUUAGCAGUUUGUAUCUGUAAUACUUAGGUAAUAAAACAGGUUGAAGGUAACAGCAACCAAAAGUACAUAUACAUUUCAGGUGCUUUAAAGUAAUCCAUUCCCCUCCCCAGUUUCCCCUUCCCCCUAGGAAGUUUGUGAAACCUAUGCUACGUGUUUUCUAAGUAUCAUGUUUCAGAUGAUUAAGUGUAUCAGUAUAUAUUUAGCUGAUGUUGAUGAGUAGCUGUAUCAUAAAUGUUUUAAAAGAUCAUAUAGUCCUGGACAUUUAGGGUUGACUGUGGGUGGGUGAUAGGAUUUGCCUUUGUGAACAGACCAUUUGAACAAUUACCCCAGUCCCACUUGGAAGCUCUUCUUUAGUUCCAGGUGAAAGUAAUAACUAACACGCAGCUGAAGUCAGUCUGUAUCAUUAUUUCAAGUCAGGGGAUUGUCUUCUUUCAGAGAGUCAGAAUAUUCAGCAGAGCACAUUGCAAGAGAGAGGCUUGCUCUCUCUUAAGACUGCUUGUCCUGGGAGGGCCCACUGGCAGGGCUUUGUCUUACUGGGAGGAGGUCAUAAUGACCAGGAAUAUGGCUGUUCCUAGGUAGGUCGUAUGGAUUCUGGAUAUAGCUGGAGUUAUGACCGAGGCCUUCUUGGACCACACUGAUUGUGGGCUCUAAGGAAUAUAGUGAAAAAUGAGUUCAGAGAACAGAUUAGCUUUGGUUGUCUUGUUGGGGAGAAUAGAGUUCUAUUUAACGUGAUAGGGAGAGAAGCCAGGGAAUCUGUGAUAAAUAUAUGAGGGGUAGGACUGGGGCUUGCUCGUGAAAUGGAAAACCUAAGUGAGUAUAUUACCGGAAUCCCAGGCUCUGGGUCAAAACCAAGAGGUUUAGAAUAUCCUAGAGGUAGGCAGGCAUCUUAUCCACAAGCCCAGAGACAUAGGUGAAAUAAAGAAGGUAGAAGACAGUGAUUUAGAAACUUGGCAAAUGUUUGUUCUGAUUGUUUUCUUUUUUAAACUGGGAUUUGCAUCAACAAUCAGUUGAAGUGAGUGUGUGUAUACCCACUGACUCCCCACCCCCAAUGUUUCUGCUUCAUUGUAGUACUGUUUUUUUUUUUUUUUUUUUAAAGCACAGUUGAUACGAGAAUUUGAUUUCCUGCAUGAGAAAGGAGGGUAGUUCUGGGAAAGACAGUUCACCUUGGAUUCCUUAAAAAGCAACAAAAAAAGGGUGUGUUUUCAAGACCCGAUGUCGACAAGGAUGGCAUAUCUGUGUACGGAGACCCCCUGUGCACAGGCGACUUCAUUUCUACAUAGCUGCUUUCUGGAAGCUUGCAGCAGCCAUAGAAGCAAGGACUAAUUAUUUCCCUUUCAAAGAUGAAGAAACAGAGUCACCAAAAGGUUGGAUAACUCGCUCAAGAUCCUAUAACCAGUAAUUGGUAAAGUCCAGUUUCUCCGGAGUUGGGAAGAAUUGAACCGACUGCAUCUCCCUGCGUACCAGCUUUGUGACUCUGAGUCCUCAGUUUGCCCAUUUUGCAACAUGGGGACAAUAAUCUCACCCUCCCCCGGGAACUGUGAGCGCCACAGUGGCAAUGAAAGUGUGCCAGUGUGCCCGAUUACCACCCACAAAACCCCUCUUGAUGAUACAUGAAUGGGCUAACUCUCCAGACUGCUGCUAAGCCCACGGUGGGGGCAGCAGAGUCUAGACUUUUCCCUGGCUAUCAGCAACUGGUUGAAUAGAGCCAGUCAGCAUCCUCGGGGAGAUAAGGUGCUGCAUCAUCAUUCUCUGUGAUAGACCAUCAGAAUGCAAUAGAAAUGUCUUUUGGCCCCCUUUCUGUUAUGUGGAUAAUUGAGAGCCCACUCUCAUUCCCCAUCUCUCACAGACAACAGUAUAUUAUGUGCAGCACAUCACAAAGGGUUUUUAUAUAUACAGAGUGAUUUAUCAAGCGCCUGCUGCUGUGCCGGGCGCUGUGCUGAGUCCUCCACUCCUAUCAUCUCGACCUGGUCCUCAUCACUGUACUGUGGGGUGUCAUCUGACUACAGGGCUGGAGCCAAGGUGGAGCCCCUUUGGACUCCCCAGCCCUCAACAGAACCUCGUGUUAUGUUGGAAGACCAGGAACAAUCUACCCUUCCUACUUUGCAUGUGGAAGAAGCCCAGUAAGAUGGAAUGACCUGUCCAGGAUGCCCGGCAGGUAAUGGCAGAAGCAGAACUUGGCAUAUCUUCGCUUGUCUGGUGGCCAUUCCACAGGACUAGCUCGUGGUUGCCCUUGUAUGGCUCGCAGGAAACUUGCCACGGAAUAGCAUGGGGAAGCCAUGAUGGAGAGGUUCCCACUCCAUAUCCCUCCCCCUCUGCAACCCACCCCACCCCUGCUCUUCCAACAGUGAAUAAACUGAAGUCACAAACUGU